rnacentral:lncRNA from 1 species
GUCAAAUCCUCUUAUCAGGUUCCCAGCUUUGGCACAUUCAACAAAUGAUGGCAUAAACAAACAUCCUCAAAAUACUCAACUAAAAAACUACUACUAUUUUGGAAUUGAAUAUCAAAGAGAAGCGAAGGAAGAUUUCCACAAGACACCAUUUCAGUUUACACCCUGAGAAGUGAAAAUAACUCCGAUGUACAAUUAUUGCCAUCCCGAAAACAAUGGCAAAAGAAAUCCAUGUAGCUAAUCCCAAAUUUGCUAAGAACAAUGUUAGUUUGUUGUUGUUGUAGUACAAGUAUUGCCGUCCACAUCAUCUAAUCUGAGACCAACAUUCAACUAAAUCAACAAAGUUCUUCUAUGCUAGGAAGCUUUGUGCCCAAAGUACAUUUAAGCGAAAGCAAUCUCCAAAGAUUGACAUUCAAACUAAAUCAACAACGUUCUUCGAUUGUAAGGAAGCUUUGUGCCAGGAGUACCUUCACCGGACUGCAUUAUCUUCAAAAUAAGGGAAGGCUCUCAGGUUAUGCCUAAACUGGCCAGCUAGUACAAGGACAUGAGCAGGCUGAAGGGCACUCUGAUUUAAUCCUUUAGAGAUUAAGAGUUUAGGAACAGGUUAUGUUCUCCAUCAUAGUACCUGAAUAACAGAUGAUUCAAUCAGCUAAAUAUGUCGAUUUUAAUAGACUUGUGCACAAGGAGCAGCCAUGCAUAUGACUCAGGUGGAUUCCAACACGAGCAAUUUUACAUCAACAUCAACAAGGAGAAAUGAG